rnacentral:misc_RNA from 1 species
UGGUUCUGGCAUCGAUGAAGAACGCAGCGAAAUGCGAUAAGUAAUGCGAAUUGCAGAAUUCCAGUGAGUCAUCGAAUCUUUGAACGCACAUUGCGCCCUUUGGUAUUCCGAAGGGCAUGCCUGUUCGAGCGUCAUUAUCACCCUUCAAGCCCCGUGCUUGGUGUUGGAACGACCCGGUUGAAUCUUGAUUCGACCCUUCCUAAAGACAAUGACGGCGGCCUGUGGUUCCCCCGGUACACUGAGCUUCUCACCGAGCACGUACUGGAUAAGGGUGCCCGGGUCACGGUCUUUUCUCCCUUUACGAGAAAACAUUUCACCAAGGUUGACCUCGGAUCAGGUAGGAAUACGCGCUGA